AAAAAUAACGAAGAGUUUGAUCCUGGCUUAGAACUAACGCUGGCAGUGCGUCUUAAGCAUGCAAGUCAGACGGAAUGUAGUAAUACAUUCAGUGGCGAACGGGUGAGUAACGCGUGGAUAAUCUACCUACGAGAUGGGGAUAACUAUUAGAAAUAGUAGCUAAUACCGAAUAAAGUCAAUUGAGGUGUUGAUUGAUGAAAGGAAGCCUUUAAAGCUUCGCUUGUAGAUGAGUCUGCGUCUUAUUAGUUAGUUGGUGGGGUAAGAGCCUACCAAGGCUAUGAUAAGUAACCGGCCUGAGAGGGUGAUCGGUCACACUGGAACUGAGAUACGGUCCAGACUCCUACGGGAGGCAGCAGCUAAGAAUCUUCCGCAAUGGGCUAAAGCCUGACGGAGCGACACUGCGUGAACGAAGAAGGUCGAAAGAUUGUAAAGUUCUUUUAUAAGUGAGGAAUAAGCUUUGUAGGAAAUGACAAAGCGAUGACGUUAAUUUAUGAAUAAGCCCCGGCUAAUUACGUGCCAGCAGCCGCGGUAAUACGUAAGGGGCGAGCGUUGUUCGGGAUCAUUGGGCGUAAAGGGUGAGUAGGCGGAUAUGCAAGUCUAUGUGUAAAAUACCACAGCUCAACUGUGGAACUAUGCUGGAAACUGCAUGACUAGAGUCUGAUAGGGGAAGUUAGAAUUCCUGGUGUAAGGGUGGAAUCUGUUGAUAUCAGGAAGAAUACCAGAGGCGAAGGCGAACUUCUAGGUCAAGACUGACGCUGAGUCACGAAAGCGUAGGGAGCAAACAGGAUUAGAUACCCUGGUAGUCUACGCUGUAAACGAUGCACACUUGGUGUUAAUCGAAAGGUUAGUACCGAAGCUAACGUGUUAAGUGUGCCGCCUGGGGAGUAUGUUCGCAAGAAUGAAACUCAAAGGAAUUGACGGGGGCCCGCACAAGCGGUGGAGCAUGUGGUUUAAUUCGAUGAUACGCGAGGAACCUUACCAGGGCUUGACAUAUACAGGAUAUAGUUAGAGAUAACUAUUCCCCGUUUGGGGUCUGUAUACAGGUGCUGCAUGGUUGUCGUCAGCUCGUGCCGUGAGGUGUUGGGUUAAGUCCCGCAACGAGCGCAACCCUUAUUGUCUGUUACCAGCAUGUAAAGAUGGGGACUCAGACGAGACUGCCGGUGAUAAGCCGGAGGAAGGUGAGGAUGACGUCAAAUCAUCAUGGCCCUUAUGUCCUGGGCUACACACGUGCUACAAUGGCCUGUACAAAGCGAUGCGAAACAGUGAUGUGAAGCAAAACGCAGAAAGCAGGUCUCAGUCCAGAUUGAAGUCUGAAACUCGGCUUCAUGAAGUUGGAAUCGCUAGUAAUCGUAUAUCAGAAUGAUACGGUGAAUACGUUCUCGGGCCUUGUACACACCGCCCGUCACACCACCCGAGUUGAGGAUACCCGAAGCUAUUAUUCUAACCCGCAAGGGGGGAAGGUAUCUAAGGUAUGUUUAGUGAGGGGGGUGAAGUCGUAACAAGGUAGCCGUACUGGAAAGUGUGGCUGGAUCACCUCCUUUCUA
rnacentral:rRNA from 1 species